rnacentral:rRNA from 1 species
CAGUAGCCACGGUAAUACGUAGGUCCCGAGCGUUGUCCGGAUUUAUUGGGCGUAAAGGGAGCGCAGGCGGUUUAGUAAGUCUGAAGUUAAAGGCAUUGGCUCAACCAAUGUAUGCUUUGGAAACUGUUAGACUUGAGUGCAGAAGGGGAGAGUGGAAUUCCAUGUGUAGCGGUGAAAUGCGUAGAUAUAUGGAGGAACACCGGUGGCGAAAGCGGCUCUCUGGUCUGUCACUGACGCUGAGGCGCGAAAGCGUGGGGAGCAAACAGGAUUAGAUACCCCAGUAGUCCCUGUCUCUUAUACA